rnacentral:hammerhead_ribozyme from 1 species
AUCCAGACGACGAGUCCCAAAUAGGAAGAAAUGCGCAUCCUGGAU